GAAAACUUCGAGGUCAAACUGGCAUUUUUCCAGCCAACUACGUAACCAUGAAUUAAAGCGUAUACUAUUUUCUUCUUUGAGAAUUACAAAAAAAUUAUUUCUACACUGACAGGAUUUACUAGUAGGCAGAAGUCCUAUGUCUCAUAUGCAGGGUGAAAUCCACCUCCGUUCUGGGCUGCCUGAGCUCCUUCCUGAACUCUAGACUCCCCUCUCCAGCUAUGCACUUUACAGCUCCGUUUGGACAAGGAACAACACCUCAGCCUUCACGGGCUCAAAUCCAAGCUCUUCUUUCUCCUCACUUAGCCUGCCCCUCCCACAGUGUUCCUCUUCAGUAAAUGGAAAUUCCAUCCUUGGAUUUCCUUGGUCCUCAGGGUGACUUCAGAGCCAACUUUCGUUCUUCUAUCUCAUGCCCUCUAUUAAAUCCACCAGAGAUUCUGUUGCCUUUCAGACACUCGCUGACCCAAUAUUUGCGCUCCCCCAUGCCCACCCUGAAGCGAGCU
rnacentral:lncRNA from 1 species